rnacentral:tRNA from 1 species
CAGUAUAUAGUUUAAUAAAGAAUUCAGAUUUUGGAGAUCUAAGGUAUAACAAUUUAUUAUACUGA